AAUGAUAGAGGCGCGGCUGACAAGAGUAGCAUCGGACCACCGGAAGACACCGGGGUGUGAAAGGGGAGGCCGCCGAGGGGCAAUGUUGUUGUCUUGCACAUUGUACCCGGGCACCGGGAGAAAAUCCUUGUGACUGUCGCGAAAGCGGAGUGCUGUC
rnacentral:ncRNA from 1 species